rnacentral:rRNA from 1 species
AUUGAACGCUGGCGGCAUGCCUACACAUGCAAGUCGAACGGCAGCACGGGGCAACCUGGUGGCGAGUGGCGAACGGGUGAGUAAUGCAUCGGAACGUACCUUUCAGUGGGGGAUAACGUAGCGAAAGUUACGCUAAUACCGCAUAUUCUGUGAGCAGGAAAGCAGGGGAUCGCAAGACCUUGCGCUGAUUGAGCGGCCGAUGUCAGAUUAGCUAGUUGGUGAGGUAAAGGCUCACCAAGGCGACGAUCUGUAGCGGGUCUGAGAGGAUGAUCCGCCACACUGGAACUGAGACACGGUCCAGACUCCUACGGGAGGCAGCAGUGGGGAAUUUUGGACAAUGGGGGCAACCCUGAUUCAGCCAUGCCGCGUGAGUGAAGAAGGCCUUCGGGUUGUAAAGCUCUUUCGGCCGGGAAGAAAUCGCACGGGCUAAUACCCUGUGUGGAUGACGGUACCGGAAUAAGAAGCACUGGCUAACUACGUGCCAGCCGCCGCCGUAAUAC